UUCUCAAUGUCAAGGAGAAAUCCAAGCUUGGUAUUAAGGCUGUGCAAAUGAGUGAACCUGUCAUUCAUCUCUCUGUGAAUACGAUCAAGUGCUGCCUUCAUAAUUCUUUCCAUUUCCUCCUUUGCUGUUAACCCUGCAUCUCUUGCUUUCUCACCAGGAAUUUUUUUCACGUGUCUCACACGACAUCCAAAGGCAACAUUAAAUUUCUGGCACAGAGCAAGCCCUUCAUCAAUUGACUCGCUGACCGAAACGUCUCUGUGGGCAUCAAAAUAAUCUCGGAGAGAUCUUACAUCUUGGGCAGCAUGGUGGAAGUUCAUGCUGGGACUCUGUAGCCUUCUUUGAACAAGGUCAAUGGGACCAAGUACCUUGUCCCAAAAUCCUAUAUAAGUAAGGAAGUCAUAACGCAACAGGUUGUUGAGCAGUGCAUCUGCUUCAUGCCUUGACAAAUCGGUCACGUCUAGAUCGAAUUCCAUGUUCUGGAGAAGUUCGAUGAUUUCCUCAAGAUACAUUCGCGCAGGUUUCACUGCUUCUGCCUUCGCACUCCACCUGGUUUCGGACUGUGACUUGAGACUCAAAGAAACAGCCUGAGUUUUGCCCAGCGCUGGUCUGAAUUUGCGAAAAAUGUGUACAGACAAUCUAAGACUGCAAAAAAAUUCCCUAUCUGUGCUUCUUGAGAGGAUGAAUGAACACCCACCAUGUUCAGUGAGUGAUUGUCACAAUUUACUAACACAGCCAGGUGGUUCUUUUCCAUUAUUCUUUGAUGUACACCCUGCUUCUGUUUCCAGCCAUUACAGCAGUGUUGUCAUAACACUGUGACCGACAAUCCUUCAGAUCCAGGUUGUCCUUCUCAAGAUUUCCCCGGUCAAGCUUUCUGUAGCUUUCUUGUGGAUCCAGAAGAAACCAAGAAAAGACUCUCUUACACGGACUGCUCUGCUCCUAGCAUCAAUUUCCAUCUAACGACUACUGACAUCUGGUAACGGUGUGCCAGAUCAGGAGUUGAGUCAAACAUGAUGCCAUAGCACUUGGCAGAACGAAUCUUUUUUGGUAUAUUCUGACGAACCACAGAAGCAAUGAGAUGGCUGAAUCCAUUUUGGAUACCCAGUGAAAGUGUUUGUCCACACGACAAGAACACACUGAGGAGGAUGGCAGCUCUCAAACAGGAGGCGGGCAAUUGGAGAAAUGUAACCCAUAGAUGCAGAAGGACCACUUUGAUCAGUCAACUUCUUUGAUGGUGGUUAAACUCCUCAAUGCCUGGCAGCAAGAUUGCUGUGUGAAUGCAAGGAUUGCUGUGUGAAUGCAAGGAUUGCUGUGUGAAUGCACGGGCAAGGAGUCCUUGCAGGAGCUGGGCAGAGAGAAGAAACCAAGUCUCACUUUCGCUUAGUGGCAGCUAGACUGACAGGAAAUAUCCUACAGUGUGUAACAGAUUUCCCGCUGUGAUACACCUCUGAAGAUCACAAUCAAGAGAAUACGCUUUGCACCAACCGCUUUUAUGUGCAUAAACUUGCAUGACAUACAAGUGAAUAAAGUGUAAUAACAAAGUGCAAUAAUAAAAUUCUUAACAACA